CUAAACCGCUGAGCCACCCAGGAAUCCCCAGAAGAUAGUAUUUUUAGUAUUUCUUGUAUCAUUAAGAAUUAAUAAUAUAAGAAUUAAUAAUCCAGUUGUACAGUUUGGCUUCUGGCUCUUCUUAUCUGCCUUCCCUUUACCAAAGCAAUACAGAGGUACAAAUAUAUACCAAACUAACCUAAGAAUCUUCAGUGACUUUCCUAAUUGAUAACCUCACAAGAAUCCUUUGUAGUAGAAUAUUUGUAGGUGGAAAUAUAUAAAAGAUAAUUUUUGAUUUGUAGUAUGUCUUGUUUGAAAAAACAUUUUAAGGUUUUAUAACUGAGACCAUGGGUACUGUUGGAUCAUUUGGAAUCCCCUUAAAUUACAUGCAGAAUUUCAUGUUCAUAUUCUUUUACAUGCAAAUUUGCUAUAGAUAGGUUCAUACUCCAUCCAAUGUCCAGGCAAAUUUGAGACCCAAAUGAGUUUUGAAAACAGUGCUAAUUUAGGGUAGAUAUUUCCAGUAUUUAGGGGUCAUGUACCCUAACAGUUUAAAAAAUUGAGCGCAAACUUGUAUAUUUAUUUCUAAUCUCUAAUUGUGUUAUCAUUGUACUAACCUUUUAGAUAGGUUUUAAAAAGCAUUCUGAAAAAAAAUAAAAUAAAUAAAAAAUAAAAAGCAUUCUGUAAGGAUAAUACCCAAAACUGUAUUCCAGUGGAAAAUCUGGGAUUAAUAGUCUUUGGAGAACAUUGGUCCAAGGGAUUACUAGGGUAGUUAAGAAUCUUUUUUCUGAUUGAACACAGCAGACAUAUUUGCCUGUCCUGGUACAAGUAGAAUAAAGUACUAUAGAAUAGAAAUCAGGAUCCUCUGUAGAAUUUUGGAUUACAAGAUAUCAAGCACUGGUGUGCUGAGGCAUCACCAGUGCAGACAAGAGGGCCUAUCUAUGGAAAUGAAAAGGAAGGAUUUAGCAAAAUAGGCUCUUAAUAUUUUAAAAUUAUUAGCAGACUUGGAGACUCAAGGUUUAGGAUGUAGUAGUGUUUAAUGCCAGAACAUAAAAUUGAAUAGUCCGCUCAUCUCCAAGAAUUAUGAAUUCAAAGGAAAAUUUUCACUGAAUGAAAACUGAUGACUGUUAAGAACUUUAUAUAGAUUUAACACUUCUGUCACUUUAUUAAUUACUGAAAUUGGCUAAAUUUGAUUUUAUUGUAUUCCUAGGAAGGUGAAAGAAAACAUGGAUGAAGCUUCCUGAAUUCGGCUUCUGGCAUGAGUCAAGCUCAGAGAUAGGAAAUGCUGGUGUCAGUAUUCCCUUUCAGAAAAGUCGUCCCAGGGACCAGGAGCUUCAGCCUCACCGGGUUCUUGAGUGCAAUCUCAACACACAGCUCACCAAAUGAAUUUGCCCAUUUUAACAAGAUCCCAGGGGAUUUGAGUGCACGCAGACAUACUUGGAAACUUUGAGCAAUUCCACCCUUUUAAGGUCAUUUUGUUGGAGAAAUGCUUAUAAAGACAGAGGAGAAACAAGCCAGAAAACAAACCUUAUUUCAUUUGUGAAUUUAUUACUCCAUAUAAACAACUAUGGAUAUAUGAGUAUCCUAACAUUUGACAUUAUGCCUCAUGGAGUUUUCUUUGGUUAAAAUACUAUCUGGAAUAGUGCAAACUUCCAUUAUCAUUCAGUUUUUUGUUAAGAUAUAUACUUACCCCUUGGUGUGGUCUUUGCCAUGGAGAGUAGUACGGUAGUAACCCACAAAUACAGAAUAGCCAAUAAACUCCCCUUUCAACUUC